AACGAACGCUGGCGGCAUGCUUAAGACAUGCAAGUCGAACGGCAGUCUUCGGACUGUAGUGGCGCACGGGUGAGUAACGCGUAACUGACCUACCCCAAAGUCGCGGAUAACGAUUCGAAAGAAUCGCUAAUACGUGAUGUGCUGUCAGAUUGUGUUCUGCCAGUAAAGAUUGAUUGCUUUGGGAUGGGGUUGCGUUCCAUCAGCUAGUUGGUGGGGUAAAGGCCCACCAAGGCGACGACGGAUAGCCGGCCUGAGAGGGUGGCCGGCCACAGGGGCACUGAGACACGGGUCCCACUCCUACGGGAGGCAGCAGUUAGGAAUCUUCCACAAUGGGCGAAAGCCUGAUGGAGCGACGCCGCGUGAGGGAUGAAGGUCUUCGGAUCGUAAACCUCUGAAUCAGGGACGAAAGACACUUCGGUGGGAUGACGGUACCUGAGUAAUAGCACCGGCUAACUCCGUGCCAGCCGCCGCCGUAAUAC
rnacentral:rRNA from 1 species